UAUACUACUUUAUAAAACAUAUCCAAAGGACUUCUUAAAGUCCAUAAAAAUUCCAUUAAAACACCCUUAAAGCAUGAUGUACAACCCUCUAAAGCACAAUCUAAUUUACACUUCCAAUUAUACCCUUCACUCAAAAAAAAAACACACGGGAGUACACAAAUAUUUUAGGGUUUCUCAUUCUAAUAGCAUUUUAUCCGCCCCCAUCCCGAGCUGCUUUCUCUCUCCCAGGCGAUUUCCAGAUCUAGGGUUUCAAUGACAUCGAAUCGUUGAUUUUCUCUCUAUCCCACAGAAGAUCCACUGGGGUUGACCUCUAGGGUUUCAAUGACACGGAAUCGAUGAUUUUCUCUCUAUUCGACACAAGAUCCACUGGGGUUGACCUCUAGGUACCGUUUUAAACCAUCUUCUCUGAGAUCGGCUGCUGCUUAUGUUAAUUCUCAUGGUCUUCUGUUCAGAUCUGGUUUUAAUACCGAGAACUAAAGGCUAGGGUUCGACUAACUGGCAGUUAACUUCUCCGAGAUCCGUUGCUGCUCGUGUUAAUCCUCAUCUUCUUCUGUUCAGAUCUGGCUUUAAUAAUGGUGGCUGAACAACAAGUGAGUAGCUUGUGUUUGGAGGCUCAGGAGUUCAUGAUUGCUGGUAGAUGGUUGGAUUUGGCUUUGUUGAUGAUUACUUCUGCUGAUUUGGUGUUUUCCAAAGCGUCAAAUAAAGGUUAAAUCUUUAAACUCAAUCUGGUGAUUUCCGGUUGAAUUUCCGGUUGAAUUUUGUCGCUGUGUAACCGUUUUUGUUCGUUCAUUUCGUUUUCGUGUGGUUUUGGUGAAGUGAGAGAAGACGAAGGCUUCCGGCGAGAAAGUUAGGAAUGAUAUGGUAUGAUUACGUCAUCAUUUUUUCGUUUAUGUAAUUUUGUUAUAUUGCAUUUUGUAGUCGUUGUUAUUGUUCAAUUUGUUGUGUAUGGAGGACAAUUGCAGAAUAUAUGUGUUACUGUUCGUUCGUAUUCUAACAGUUAAUCGGAAUUUUUGAA